GAAAUACGGUGCAUCCUUUCCCAGGAGUGGAGUGCGAGGGAUCAAAUGCCGGAGGAGGCAGCAGAGGCAAUAAAGUGAUCGCUCAGCAGGGUGAGGACUGUGCGCCUCUGGCCUCACCAGCGUCUGUGCUCAGAGCAAGGUCAGGAGAGCUCAGCGUGAGCCAAAGCUGUCCACAGCAGAGACCACUCACGGCCAUGACCCUGGCACACGCCGGGGCCUGCCUGCCAGCUGCGAGCACUUCAUCUCAAAGCUUCAGCCGCGACCUGCCCGGUUCUGCAGAGCAGGGCUCGCCCGCCCUGUAAUUUCCCACUGAGUCAGGAGAUCAAGUGAGAAUUCCACUGAUGUUUUUAAAUAGUCUUGGCUCCAAUAAGCGAAGGCGGGUGGAGAUUUUGGAGUGCACCCAUGUGGGCUGGCAGGGAGCUGCAGGUCUCCUGUUACUGGGGGCUGGAAGGACAGCCUUCUUCGGCUGCCUCCAAGCGACGCAGUUCAUGGUUUGGAAGAAUUUAAGCGCAGUCCAUCAAGGUAAGGGAGGGAGGCAUGCAUCCAAGGCUGCAGGACUAUUUGGGCUGGAAAGCAGAGGAGUCAGAGUGGAGACAUCAUCCCUCAGGUUUAGAGUCUUGUCCCUGUGGUCUGACAUUUUUCCAACUAGGUAAAACAUCCAAACGUUCCCACCAUCUCUGAAAGCUGUGCCAAGAGCCAGGAACCAAGUGUUGAAACACAGGAACCAGUGGGAGAUACUUCAAAUCCAAACCAUCAUACAGCUUCACCCUUGACUGGAUAAAGGCAUGAGAAAUCCAACAAGGCUUUCGUUUUAGGGAAUGUGCUAGUGAAAUAUUGGUCAGCCGACACAACCUCGGGUCUUCUGAGAAGAGGGGACCUCAAUGGAGAGAACGCCUUCAUUAGACUGACCUAUAGGCAAGUCUUUGGUUAAUGACUGACGUGGGGGAGGGGGGCUGGCCCACUGUGGGCGGUGCCAACGCUGGACCAGCGGUGCCAGGUCCUAUAGGAAAGCAGACUGAGCCAUUCAUGGAGAGGACUCCAGCUGGCCCGGCUCUCCCAUGGUUCCUGCCUGAGUUCCUGCCCUGACUCCCCUUCAAGGCCCAAGCUGUGAAGAUGAAAUAAACUAAACAAACCCUCCACUCCAUGGCACUUCAGGGUUCCCUGCGGAGCUCCCACAUGUGGCUUAUGCCAAGAGAGACUUUCGAAGGACUCUCUAGGCAGGUUUCCAGUCGGAAGAGACUUAUUACAAGGAAGCGCUGCUGCUGACCACAUUUUUGAAUGUGUUAUGAGACUGUCUGUAAAGUCUAAGGAGGCCAAAGAAGUGUGUCGCUUACACCUGCAUUUUUAAUUGCAUUUCUGUAACCUAAUUGAUUACUGUCCUAACAUAUGAAAAAAAAUCAACAUUUUUUUUAAAAAUCUGAAGUAAAAAUAAAACCAAAGUAACCAGAGUGUAAAACAACGGCUCACAUAAAUGUUCGAAGCUAUUCUCGAAUUCAAAAUAAUGGAACGCCUACUAAAUGCCAGUGUUUAAGCCCAGGUGUGGUAGCACCCACCUUUAAUCCCAACAAUUGGGAGGCAGAGGCAGGUGGAUCUCGUUGAGUUCAAGGCCAGCCUGGCCCACAGAGUGAGUUCCAGGACAGCCAGAGCUGCACAGGGAAACCCUCCAGAACAAAAGAAACCAAACAAACGAAAACACUAUUUUGAGAUCAGAAAGACCUAGUCUGAGAGUCAACCAAGCAUUUGCCCAGCCAGUCUGAAGCUACCGGGACCUACAUGGCGAGGCAGGAAGUGAGAUAACUCAGGCUUUCAUGACUUCUAAAACUUCCUUCGCCCAUCCCAGAGGGGCAGCGCCCUCUGCCCCCCCCACUGACCUGGUCCUUUAGCUAGUUCAGCAUCUAAGGUGGUUCCAUAACGCUUCCAGGGACUUCUGGGGACCAAGCUUCCGAUGUGGGCCACAGGGAAACCAGCCUCGCCCGAAACUCACCACUGGAAUUAGAUGACGAUGAUGAUGAUGAUGAUGACGACGACGACGACGACGAUUGAAAAGAGCAGACUGGGAGCUGGGCAGUUGGCUCCGUCAGCACAGCGCCUGUCACAUGAGCCUCCGUCUGCAUCUGUAACCCCAACACUGGAGGCAGUAUAGUGAUGAGCGCCAGGGUCAGUGAGGAAUCCCAUCGCCCCCAUAUAAAGUAGA